rnacentral:rRNA from 1 species
UACGAGGGGGCUAGCGUUGCUCGGAAUCACUGGGCGUAAAGCGCACGUAGGCGGAUUGCUAAGUCAGGGGUGAAAUCCUGGAGCUCAACUCCAGAACUGCCUUUGAUACUGGCGAUCUUGAGUCCGGGAGAGGUGAGUGGAACUGCGAGUGUAGAGGUGAAAUUCGUAGAUAUUCGCAAGAACACCAGUGGCGAAGGCGGCUCACUGGCCCGGUACUGACGCUGAGGUGCGAAAGCGUGGGGAGCAAACAGG